rnacentral:rRNA from 1 species
CCCGCUCAGAAACUACAAAGGAAUUGACGGGGGCCCGCACAAGCGGUGGAGCAUGUGGUUUAAUUCGAUGAUACGCGAGGAACCUUACCUGGGCUCAAAUGUAUGUUGACGUAUUCUGAAAGGGAUACUUCUUCGGACAAUAUACAAGGUGCUGCAUGGUUGUCGUCAGCUCGUGCCGUGAGGUGUCGGGUUAAGUCCCAUAACGAGCGCAACCCCUAUCAUUAGUUGCCAUCAGGUAAUGCUGGGGACUCUAAAGGAACUGCCUACGCAAGUAGUGAGGAAGGCGGGGAUGACGUCAAAUCAGCACGGCCCUUACGUCCAGGGCUACACACGUGCUACAAUGGCCGAUACAGAGGGCAGCUACCUGGUGACAGGAUGCAAAUCUCCAAAGUCGGUCUCAGUUCGGAUCGGAGUCUGCAACCCGACUCCGUGAAGUUGGAUUCGCUAGUAAUCGCGCAUCAGCCAUGGCGCGGUGAAUACGUUCCCGGGCCUU